AUUCUUUUAGUAUAAAAGUAUAAAUGACUUCCAAUCAUUAGGCCUUAAUUUAAUUUAAGAAAGAAUA
rnacentral:tRNA from 1 species